AGAUCCUUUGCUGAUAUACUGUUAAAUCUGUUCAAUAUAGUUGGAAUAUCUCUGAGUUCAGCGAGUCUGGAUGUUCUUUCUUUGCCGGUCAACUUGUGGUUUAUCAUUGGGUUCUUCACAAUAGAUCAAGCAAUAUGUUUCUACUGCCACUAUUUUACUCCAUCAAAGACUUUCACUGUAAAACAGACCCUUAUCCAUGUAGUCUGGGGAUUUUUAAACACAAAGACUUACCACGUUAUCCUCCUUCUUCACCUGUUCAAUUCUGAGUUUAAAAUCCCAGUUUGGAUUUGGGCGAUAGACUCAUACUUUGCCAUAACCCCUGCCGUAUCAAGCAUGAUA